rnacentral:rRNA from 1 species
GUAACAACCAUUUGAGUCUGGGAUUUCUGAAUGGGGAAACCCACGUGCAUAAGCACGUAUCCUUACCUGAAUACAUAGGGUAAGGAGGCGAACCGGGGAAACUGAAACAUCUAAGUACCCCGAGGAAAAGAAAUCAACCGAGAUUCCGAAAGUAGCGGCGAGCGAAAUUGGACUAGCCCUUAAGCUUUACACGCGUUAGACGAACGGUCUGGAAAGUCCGACGAUACAGGGUGAUAGUCCCGUAGUUGACGACGUGUGUUCAGUGAAAUCGAGUAGGGCGGGACACGUGAUAUCCUGUCUGAAUAUGGGGGGACCAUCCUCCAAGGCUAAAUACUACUGACUGACCGAUAGUGAACCAGUACCGUGAGGGAAAGGCGAAAAGAACCCCUGUGAGGGGAGUGAAAUAGAACCUGAAACCGUGUACGUACAAGCAGUAGGAGCAGGCUUUGUCCUGUGACUGCGUACCUUUUGUAUAAUGGGUCAGCGACUUAUAUUCAGUGGCAAGGUUAACCAUCUAGGGGAGCCGUAGGGAAACCGAGUCUUAACUGGGCGUUCAGUCUCUGGAUAUAGACCCGAAACCAGGUGAUCUAGCCAUGGGCAGGUUGAAGGUUGAGUAACAUCAACUGGAGGACCGAACCGACUAAUGUUGAAAAAUUAGCGGAUGACUUGUGGCUAGGGGUGAAAGGCCAAUCAAACCUGGAGAUAGCUGGUUCUCCCCGAAAGCUAUUUAGGUAGCGCCUCGGACGAAUACUACUGGGGGUAGAGCACUGUUAAGGCUAGGGGGUCAUCCCGACUUACCAACCCUUUGCAAACUCCGAAUACCAGUAAGUACUAUCCGGGAGACACACGGCGGGUGCUAACGUCCGUCGUGGAGAGGGAAACAACCCAGACCGCCAGCUAAGGUCCCAAAUUACUACUAAGUGGGAAACGAUGUGGGAAGGCUCAGACAGCCAGGAUGUUGGCUUAGAAGCAGCCAUCAUUUAAAGAAAGCGUAAUAGCUCACUGGUCGAGUCGGCCUGCGCGGAAGAUGUAACGGGGCUAAGUAGUAAACCGAAGCUGCGGCAAUGUGCUUUUGCACAUUGGGUAGGGGAGCGUUCUGUAAGCGGUUGAAGGUGUGUGGUAACGCAUGCUGGACGUAUCAGAAGUGCGAAUGCUGACAUGAGUAACGAUAAAGGGGGUGAAAAACCUCCUCGCCGGAAGACCAAGGGUUCCUGUCCAACGUUAAUCGGGGCAGGGUAAGUCGACCCCUAAGGCGAGGCCGAAAGGCGUAGUCGAUGGGAAACGGGUUAAUAUUCCCGUACUUCUUACAAUUGCGAUGGGGGGACGGAGAAGGCUAGGUGGGCCUGGCGACGGUUGUCCAGGUUCAAGUGCGUAGGCUUAAGAGUUAGGUAAAUCCGGCUCUUUUUAAGGCUGAGACACGACGUCGAGCAUCUACGGAUGUGAAGUCAUUGAUGCCAUGCUUCCAGGAAAAGCCUCUAAGCUUCAGAUUGUAAGGAAUCGUACCCCAAACCGACACAGGUGGUCGGGUAGAGAAUACCAAGGCGCUUGAGAGAACUCGGGUGAAGGAACUAGGCAAAAUGGUACCGUAACUUCGGGAGAAGGUACGCUCUCGACGGUGAAGUCCCUCGCGGAUGGAGCUAUUGAGAGUCGCAGAUACCAGGUGGCUGCAACUGUUUAUUAAAAACACAGCACUGUGCAAAAUCGUAAGAUGACGUAUACGGUGUGACGCCUGCCCGGUGCCGGAAGGUUAAUUGAUGGGGUUAGACUUCGGUCGAAGCUCUUGAUCGAAGCCCCGGUAAACGGCGGCCGUAACUAUAACGGUCCUAAGGUAGCGAAAUUCCUUGUCGGGUAAGUUCCGACCUGCACGAAUGGCGUAAUGAUGGCCACGCUGUCUCCACCCGAGACUCAGUGAAAUUGAAAUCGCUGUGAAGAUGCAGUGUACCCGCGGCUAGACGGAAAGACCCCGUGAACCUUUACUACAGCUUGGCACUGAACAUUGACCCUACAUGUGUAGGAUAGGUGGGAGGCUUUGAAGCACGUACGCCAGUAUGUGUGGAGCCGUCCUUGAAAUACCACCCUUGUAGUGUUGAUGUUCUAACGUCGACCCCUUAUCGGGGUUGCGGACAGUGCCUGGUGGGUAGUUUGACUGGGGCGGUCUCCUCCCAAAGAGUAACGGAGGAGCACGAAGGUGGGCUAAUCACGGUUGGACAUCGUGAGGUUAGUGCAAUGGCAUAAGCCCGCUUGACUGCGAGAAUGACAAUUCGAGCAGGUGCGAAAGCAGGUCAUAGUGAUCCGGUGGUUCUGAAUGGAAGGGCCAUCGCUCAACGGAUAAAAGGUACUCCGGGGAUAACAGGCUGAUACCGCCCAAGAGUUCAUAUCGACGGCGGUGUUUGGCACCUCGAUGUCGGCUCAUCACAUCCUGGGGCUGAAGUCGGUCCCAAGGGUAUGGCUGUUCGCCAUUUAAAGUGGUACGCGAGCUGGGUUUAGAACGUCGUGAGACAGUUCGGUCCCUAUCUGCCGUGGGCGUUGGAAGAUUGAAGGGGGCUGCUCCUAGUACGAGAGGACCGGAGUGGACGAACCUCUGGUGUUCGGGUUGUGUCGCCAGACGCAUUGCCCGGUAGCUAAGUUCGGAAUCGAUAACCGCUGAAAGCAUCUAAGCGGGAAGCGAGCCCUGAGAUGAGUCUUCCCUGAUACUUUAAGUAUCCUAAAGGGUUGUCGGAGACUACGACGUUGAUAGGUCAGGUGUGUAAGUGCUGUGAGGCAUUGAGCUAACUGAUACUAAUUGCCCGUGAGGCUUAACCAU